GACGAACGCUGGCGGCGUGCUUAACACAUGCAAGUCGAACGGAAAGGCCCUGCUUUUGUGGGGUUCUCGAGGGGCGCACGGGUGUGUAACACGGGAGUAACCUGCCCCUGACCUUGGUAUGACUUCAGGAAACUGGGGCUAAUACCGGAUAGGAGCUCCUGCUGCAUGGGGGUGGAUGGAAAGUUUCGUCGGGUGGGGGUGGACUCCCGGCUUGUCAGCUGGUUGGUGGGGUACUGGCUUACCAAGGCUUUGACGGGUAGCCGGCCUGAGAGGGUGACCGGCCACAUUGGGCCUGAGAUAGGGCCCAGACUCCUACGGGAGGCAGCAGUGGGGAAUAUUGAAAAAUGGGCGGAAGCCUGAUGCAGCAACGCCGCGGGCGGGAUGACGGCCUUCGGGUGGAAAACCGCUUUCGCCUGUGACGAAGCGUGAGUGACGGUAAUGGGUAAAGAAGCACCGGCUAACUACGUG
rnacentral:rRNA from 1 species